CUACAGCAGCCAGAAACUUCCGCCUCGCGCGUAUCCAAGGCUCUUAAAGGUAGAGGUCAGACGUUCAAAUCGUUCUUUGGUGGUAUUUGAGCAAGGAAUCGUUUCACGCACGAUGUUUGUCAGAGAAACAUAUAUCGUUAACUAAUAUAUCAUAAAAGCGCGAAGUCUGCCAAUCAUGCAAGGACACCGCAUUUCGAGAUUCGAAUUGGCAAUUAGACAGAUUCAAGAUUCGCUUCUUCCGGUUGUGGAUCUCCCUAAGCAACGAUUGGUCACGAUUAAUAUGCGUUUCGAAUCGUGCAGGGAAUCGGAGGAAUACAAAAAAUUAUCCUUCGUUUAAAAGUUAAUGGGUCGCCCAACAUAAAGGAAACAUUAAAAUUCGAAUGGGACAAUGAACAGUGACGAUAUUAAGUUUUACGAAAAUUAGAACAUCUAUAGAUACGUAUAUCGUAAUUAGCAAUUUGGGAAUCAACUUUCUUGUUAUUUCUCGUUUCAAAUUGCGUGUUUUCCAACCUGCAUAAAUAUUGGGCGAGUGAAUACUGGAGAGACUAGAGGCGAGACUGACAUUGAAUAAUAUGAAUUUAAAGAUAAUGACACUUAAAGUAUAUACGUAUGAUCAAUGUGGCACGAGAGUCAACGUUUACCGAUUUAAUUAUCUAAAAUCAAAAUUUGACAAUUUUUAAGUAACUUCACGGAUCUAUACGACCCAAAAUGAAAAUUCUAUUACAUGAAUAUUAUUAAAAUAUAGAUAGCGCUGAAAUGGUUUUAGUAUUCAAUAUAUCCAAAUAUUACUACUUGUUGUGUAUACCAUGCUUUUUGUGACGAAGGUAUCACAAAAUGUGACAAUGAAAAGAUAUCUAAAGGAAUGCAAAUGUGAAGGGACGAGGAGAAUAGCAGAGUUCGAAUCGAAAAAAGAUCGAAUCGAAUCGCAAUUUUUCAAGUUCGAAACCAACAAUGGGAGUUUGUACAACGACGAAGACCACCCAGCAGGCAAACCUAAGUACCUAAGUACACGCCUUAAAGAAGCGCGACGCGAUGGAGUAGAACGUGAAUCGAAGUCAAAUCGACUGCUCACGUGGUUCGUGAUUCACGGGACAAAACAGCGUGUGAGAGGAAGACCUUAAAGACAACGUCAACAGAGGGAAAUGUCUUAGCCGAGGAGAGUACUGUUACGAGUUGAUCGGUUGGUUCAGUGACAAGAGAAAAUAUCAUUGUUAUAUUUAUCGGGAGCAGUUUUAUGCCGCGCUACGAAUUCCUACGAGAUAAACACACGAAGUAAUAUAUAUUGCGCUCGCGAGUAUUCAAUAAGAAACAACUUUGUCUACGCGUGUGCAUAUCUUUUUCGGAGCAAUUAUAUCUAAGCACGAUAUCGUGCAGCGAUAAGGUUCGUAUCACUUGGUUCACUCAUAUUGCUUGAAGUAAUCGCGCGUUAUUUGCUACCGAGUAAUUGCGAGAUAAGACACUGGCCCAGAAAUGUAUAAUAGCGACGAGCUUGACUUUUUCAUUUUUAUUAACGACGAUUACAAUUGCAUCACCUGUAACGCAUACGAGUAAUUAAAGGGUGAAUAGA